rnacentral:lncRNA from 1 species
UUCCGUUAGUUUCUUCCUUCCUACACUAUGUUUACCAACACUGGCUGACAGUCUCAGUGUUUGUCCUUUUUUUUUCCCCCUCCUGGCACAGUUGUUUUCUACUAUAUUUUACCAAAAAUAAAAUUUAAAUUAUGUAAUAUUUCAAUCUAUAUAAUUAGAUAUUAAUAAAAUAACAACUAUAAGUUAGCUUGUUAGUCAUAAAAAUAUUAAGCAAAAACUGAUAUAAUUAUUAAAUGUUAAUAUUUUUUAAAAAUUUAAAAUAAUAAAUGGCAGAUCUAAAUGACAAUUACCUGAAACGUUAAAUUUUGAAAAAAAAAAUUGGUUUAUUUGUUAGACUGAGGUACGUGGGUUAUUUCAUGGUUUGUUUUUUUCCAAGUUAGUGAGACAGUGGUGUUUUUCUUACUAUAUGAAUUGCUAGCUGGGCGUGGUGGCGCACGCCUUUAAUCCCAGCAUUUGGGAGGCAGAGGCAGGCAGAUUUCUGAGUUUGAGGCCAGCCUGGUCUACAAAGUGAGUUCCAGGACAGCCAGGGCUACACAGAGAAACCCUGUCUCGGAAACAAACAAAACCCCAAAAAAGAAUUGCUGCUAGUUUUAAGAAAAAUAAAAAUAGUAUUUUUACAACCUGUAAUUUUGUUUAAAUUAUAUAUUAUGUUUAUGUUUUGUAUGUAUGAGUGCUGUCUUUCAAAAGAGAUUAUCAGAUUCUCUGGAAAUAGUUACAGUUCUUUGUGAGGUGCCUGACUUGCAUGCGGGACUUAAAUUUGAGUCCUCUGUGAGACGAAUAUGUCUCCCUUUACUGCUACACUUUCAUCUCUAGCUACAGAAAUCACUUCUUUGUAAUUAGAGAAUUUUGUUUUCUGUUCUGUUGUGUUACUGGAUGAGGCCUGAACUUGAGAUAUGCUGUGUUUGGCGAUUGAUGUAUGUGAGUGAGUGACAGGUGGUUAAAGGAAGUAUAACAUCCGUCUCUCUGAGAACAUAAGGCAAGCUAUAGAGGGGUGUGGGCUGGCAGCUGACAUACCAAGUAUAAUGCCAAAAAGAAAAACAAGUCAUGGCCACAAAUUAAGUUUUGUGUGACAAUGAUGCAUUUAUCUAAGGAAAGUAAUAUUUUCAUAAGUAUGGUAUUCUUUUCAGUACUUUAAGGAAGUUUUUUUUUAAGUUAGUUUUCUAGAGUGCUAUUACUACAGAGACAACAAAGGGUGCACAAAACUAUAUAUGUGAAAAAAUACAAGAAGUAAACACUUUCCUAUUAGUAAUGUUAAUGUGCAUACUAAUAUGUUUAAUUCAUGUACUUAAACUAUUACAAAGUUCUUAAGAUGCUAAUUGUAAGUCCUUAACAUUAUAAAAGCAAAAUUAUCCUUGUCUAUUUUUAUUUGUAUGAAAAAGAUGACACCUUGUCAACUUAAGCUUGUGAGCAAUUUAAAAUGCUUUAAAAACUAUGGAGCUAUGUAUCAGCUAAAAUGAGUAGUACUGACUCUUCCAGUCAAAGGAGGAAGCUGAAGGAGGUCCUUAUCCUAAAUCAGGUUUCUCUGUCAAAGCAGUCAACCUAACUGGAGGUGGGGGUUGACUGAUACACAGGGACACACUCUCAAGUGCUUAUGUAGGCAUCUCAUGCUAUUUCAGGAUUUGUAAUCUCUCAGGUCCUAAGACAGUUUACAGAGUAUGUAUGUGUGUAUGUAUAUGCAUUUGUGUUUUGAGGGUCAUGGAAUUUCAACUGCUUGUGAUAUGACUGUUGAUAAUUCUAAGGAUAAAGAAAAUUUAGUGUGUCUAACUUUAAACUAAUUUAGGCUUGUACAUUUCUAGAACUGUAUGUCACAGUAAAUUGCAAUUUUGGUUAUGUGACAUUAGCUGACAGUAAACUUUGUUAGCUAGACAGUAUUCAAAGAAACAGUAAAUUUUCAUGUGACUUAUAUAUCUGAAAAUAUCAUUUAUAGAAUACUUGUUACGGACCAGACAAGCUCUGUAUGAAAAGUCUUUUCUCUGUUAUCUCAUUUCCAGUCACCAUAUAUUAAACCUUAUCUACUAACUUUGUUCU